rnacentral:rRNA from 1 species
UUCAAGUGAAGAGUUUGAUCCUGGCUCAGAUUGAACGCUGGCGGCGUGCCUAACACAUGCAAGUCGAGCGGUAACAGGUGUAGCAAUACAUGCUGACGAGCGGCGAACGGGUGAGUAAUGCUUCGGAAUCUGCCCAAUGGUGGGGAAUAACCAGCCGAAAGGUUGGCUAAUACCGCAUAAGUCCUACGGGAGAAAGCAGGGGAUCGCAAGACCUUGCGCCGAUGGAUGAGCCGAAGCCGGAUUAGCUAGUUGGUAGGGUAACGGCCUACCAAGGCGACGAUCCGUAGCUGGUCUGAGAGGACGACCAGCCA